GGAAUGAUGCAGAAGAAUGAAAAAGGCUUCAAAGUACAUUUGCAAAGAUGGAUGAGCUGCUGUUAUCAACGUUGAGCAGCUAAACAAAGCCCAGUGUCUUCCAAAACCAUGUUCUUGCCAUGAGGUCACCAGCUUGUCACUUCAUGGCUGCUGAGCUGCCAUGGCUCCUUCCAUCACAUCCUCACAAGACAGCAGCCCAAGCCAAAGGGACCAAAAAGGCCUCUCCUUGGACUUAUUGCUUACCAGAAAGAAAAGGUCCCAAGGCCUCCACUGGUCUCAUUGGCAAGGACUGAAUCACAUGUCCGUCAAGAUUCACACCCCUGAGCAGGGCUCCCCGUCCCUUGGACAGAAUUGGAGUUGGGGCACCAGGAAAGAAAAGGGUGUUACACAGCAACAAGUGCCCACCACAGGUACCCACAGCUUCUUCCAUUGCUCCUCGGAAGGCAACAAGGGGAAACCCCAUCAUUUUAGAGAGCUUUGUUAUCAUUACAUUUCAAUAACAAAAGGUCAUUUCCCUUUUU
rnacentral:sRNA from 1 species